rnacentral:rRNA from 1 species
GAUGAACGCUGGCGGCGUGCCUAAUACAUGCAAGUCGAGCGAACAGACGAGGAGCUUGCUCCUCUGACGUUAGCGGCGGACGGGUGAGUAACACGUGGAUAACCUACCUAUAAGACUGGGAUAACUUCGGGAAACCGUAGCUAAUACCGGAUAAUAUGUUGAACCGCAUGGUUCAACAGUGAAAGACGGUCUUGCUGUCACUUAUAGAUGGAUCCGCGCCGCAUUAGCUAGUUGGUAAGGUAACGGCUUACCAAGGCAACGAUGCGUAGCCGACCUGAGAGGGUGAUCGGCCACACUGGAACUGAGACACGGUCCAGACUCCUACGGGAGGCAGCAGUAGGGAAUCUUCCGCAAUGGGCGAAAGCCUGACGGAGCAACGCCGCGUGAGUGAAGAAGGUCUUCGGAUCGUAAAACUCUGUUAUUAGGGAAGAACAAAUGUGUAAGUAACUAUGCACGUCUUGACGGUACCUAAUCAGAAAGCCACGGCUAACUACGUG